GGGCUGCAGUGGGGAAUAUUGGACAAUGGGGGAAACCCUGAUCCAGCCAUGCCGCGUGUGUGAAGAAGGCCUUUUGGUUGUAAAGCACUUUAAGCAGUGAAGAAGACCUAACGGUUAAUACCCGUUAGCGAUGACAUUAGCUGCAGAAUAAGCACCGGCUAACUCUGUGCCAGCAGCCGCGGUAAUACAGAGGGUGCAAGCGUUAAUCGGAAUUACUGGGCGUAAAGCGAGCGUAGGUGGCUUGAUAAGUCAGAUGUGAAAUCCCCGGGCUUAACCUGGGAACUGCAUCUGAAACUGUUAGGCUAGAGUAGGUGAGAGGGAAGUAGAAUUUCAGGUGUAGCGGUGAAAUGCGUAGAGAUCUGAAGGAAUACCGAUGGCGAAGGCAGCUUCCUGGCAUCAUACUGACACUGAGGCUCGAAAGCGUGGGUAGCAAACAGGAUUAGAUACCCGGGUAGUC
rnacentral:rRNA from 1 species